GAUCCUGCUCAGGAUGAACGCUAGCUACAGGCUUAACACAUGCAAGUCGAGGGGCAUCAGGGUGUAGCAAUACGCCGCUGGCGACCGGCGCACGGGUGAGUAACACGUAUCCAACCUGCCCUUUACUCGGGGAUAGCCUUUCGAAAGAAAGAUUAAUACCCGAUGGUAUAACAUGACCUCCUGGUUUUGUUAUUAAAGAAUUUCGGUAGAGGAUGGGGAUGCGUUCCAUUAGGCAGUUGGCGGGGUAACGGCCC
rnacentral:rRNA from 1 species